AAAGCAACAGCGACUCCCUGAGUAGCGGCGAGCGAAACGGGAAGAGCCUAAACCGUGCCGGUGUCAAGCCUGGUGGCGUUGCCGGUACGGGGUCGUGGGACCAGAUAGGAGAGUCACCAGCCUCUCCACGGAGUUACAAAGUUGCUGCGUAGCAGAAGGGUUUUGGAAAGUCCCGCCACAGAGGGUAAUAGCCCCGUAAGUUAAACGCACGCAGCCUCCGAUCUGGCACCCGAGUAGCACCGGGCCCGUGAAAUCUGGUGUGAAUCUGCGAAGACCACUUCGUAAGGCUAAGUACUAACAGGCGACCGAUAGUGAACUAGUACCGUGAGGGAAAGGUGAAAAGCACCCCGGGAGGGGAGUGAAAUAGUACCUGAAACCGUUGGCUUACAAACAGUCAGAGCGUCGUCGGUCACUUCGGUGGCCGGCCGUGAUGGCGUGCCUUUUGAAGAAUGAGCCAGCGAGUUACCGUACGUGGCAAGGUUAACCCGUGAGGGGAAGCCGGAGCGAAAGCGAGUCUUAAUAGGGCGUCCAGUCGCGUGUGGUAGACCCGAAGCCGAGUGAUCUACCCAUGGGCAGGCUGAAGCGGGGGUAAGACCCCGUGGAGGGCCGAACCCACCAUGGUUGAAAACAUGGGGGAUGACCUGUGGGUAGGGGUGAAAGGCCAAACAAACUCGGUGAUAGCUGGUUCUCCCCGAAAUGCAUUUAGGUGCAGCGUUGGGCGUUCAGCAUCGGAGGUAGAGCACUGAAUGGGUUAGGGGGCCUACAAGCUUACCGACCCCAAUCAAACUCCGAAUGCCGAUACUCCAGAGCCCGGCAGUGAGACCACGAGGGAUGAGCUUCGUUGGUCGAAAGGGAAACAGCCCAGACCGCCAGCUAAGGCCCCAAAUUUUUGGCUAAGUGGAAAACGAUGUGGGAACGCAAAGACAGCCAGGAGGUUGGCUCAGAAGCAGCCAUCCUUAAAAGAGUGCGUAAUAGCUCACUGGUCGAGUGGUCCUGCGCGGACAAUGUAACGGGGCUCAAGCCUAGAGCCGAAGCUGCGGAUUUCCGCGUAAGCGGGAGUGGUAGGGGAGCGUCGAUCUUGCAGAGAAGCGGCGGUGGGAACCGUCGUGGAGCGUGAUCGAGUGAGAAUGCUGGCAUGAGUAGCGAGAGAGGGGUGAGAAACCCCUCCGCCGUAAGCCCAAGGGUUCCUGGGGAAGGCUAAUCCUCCCAGGGUAAGUCGGGAGCUAAGGCGAGGCCGAGAGGCGUAGUCGAUGCACAACUGGUUGAUAUUCCAGUACUUCCGUGUCCGCGCCCAUUCCAAUACCGGUGUCCUAAGGGGCUGUCCUUCGGGGCGAACCGACCGACCCGGUGGCGGAAAGCGAAGGAGGGACGCAGGAGGGUAGGUGAGCCCAGGCGUUGGUUGUCCUGGGGUAAGCGUGUAGGGGGAGGUCCAGGCAAAUCCGGACCUCAUCAACCCUGAGACGCGAUGCCGAGCCACACCAGGCGAAGUCACUGAUCCCAUGCUGCCGAGAAAAGCUUCUAGCGAGCUGGCACGGAACCCGUACCCCAAACCGACACAGGUGGGCGGGUAGAGAAUACCAAGGCGAUCGGGAGAACUGUGGUUAAGGAACUCGGCAAAAUACCUCCGUAACUUCGGGAGAAGGAGGGCCUCAUUAGGAUGACGGACUUAGCGUCCCGAGUCUGAAGGGGUCGCAGAGAAUAGGGGAAAGCGACUGUUUACUAAAAACACAGGAGCGUGCGAAGUCGUAAGACGAUGUAUACGCUCUGACGCCUGCCCGGUGCCGGAAGGUUACGGGGAAGGGUUAGCCCUCGGGCGAAGCUCUGAACCUAAGCCCCGGUAAACGGCGGCCGUAACUAUAACGGUCCUAAGGUAGCGAAAUUCCUUGUCGGGUAAGUUCCGACCUGCACGAAUGGCGUAACGACUUUCCUACUGUCUCAACCACAGACCCGGCGAAAUUGAAGUACGAGUAAAGAUGCUCGUUAGCUGCAUCAGGACGGAAAGACCCCGUGGACCUUUACUACAGCUUGAUGUUGAGUUUUAGUACAUAUUGUGUAGGAUAGGUGGGAGACUUUGAAGCAUUGGCGCUAGCCAGUGUGGAGUCAACCUUGAAAUACCACCCUUUAUGUGCCGGAACCCUAACCUCGGUCCGUUAUCCGGAUCAGGGACAGCGUCAGGUGGGUAGUUUGACUGGGGCGGUCGCCUCCUAAA
rnacentral:rRNA from 1 species